ACUUCAUUUCCCGAGUAAACCCCUGUCGAAAAAUGUGGCGCAAGUUUGAAACUUGCGAAUGUUCUCCACAGCUACAGCGUUUGAGAAGACGCAGCCCGUUGUAGAGGUACCAGGGGCCGAUGGUGGAGCGACGGGCCAGGUGCAUGCUGGGAAGCGCAGCGCAGCCUCUGGCGAUCUCCGUGUUGAUGUCCCAGAUGACAUGAAGGGGGACAUCAGUCCGUGGCGGCAGUGUGGAAUUGACCACGCGAGAAAGGGCAGCAGUGCAGUAUAAUGGAUGGAGAUGUGCCUCAGGGAGCCUGGCCAGAGCGAGCUCUCUAAACUCUGCAAGCUCCAUCUGGAGCAGGGCCAGGGUCUCCCUUCUGUGUCGGGCAUCAUUUCGGGGAGAAGUGGGGGCAGCGCAGGGCAUGCUGGGUACCGUGGAUGCCUGCGUCCGUCGAGGAGGAAUCUUUGAAGCAUCACAUGAACGCACACAUCUUCACACAGCAUCUGAAGUCUGAGUAACUCAUGAAUUCAUUUUGAAAAAGACUUAUUACCACCCCCUAGCACACCUUAAGAGCAUGAUUAUUUGAUUCAUAUGUCGUGUUUUAUAUGGGCGGUUGUCCACCAGGUGUCUUCAUAUUUGGGUGAGCAGGUACUCACUACACUACAAGGUACAAAAACAUACUAGACGACAUGAGUUGAAUUUAAAAUACAAAGCGUUAAAUACAAAUUUAAUUAUAUGUGGUAGUUUU